rnacentral:rRNA from 1 species
UACGGGGGGGGCAAGCGUUGUUCGGAAUUACUGGGCGUAAAGGGCUCGUAGGCGGCCAACUAAGUCAGACGUGAAAUCCCUCGGCUUAACCGGGGAACUGCGUCUGAUACUGGAUGGCUUGAGGUUGGGAGAGGGAUGCGGAAUUCCAGGUGUAGCGGUGAAAUGCGUAGAUAUCUGGAGGAACACCGGUGGCGAAGGCGGCAUCCUGGACCAAUUCUGACGCUCAGGCGCGACAGCGUGGGGAUCAAACAGG